UACAGAGGUCUCAAGCGUUUGUUCGGAAUCAUUGGGCGUAAAGCGCGUGUAGGCGGCUCGGUAAGUCCGCUCUGAAAGUCCGGGGCUCAACCCCCGGGAGGCGGGUGGAUACUGUCGAGCUCGAGUCCGGAAGAGGCGAGUGGAAUUCCUGGUGUAGCGGUGAAAUGCGCAGAUAUCAGGAAGAACACCAAUGGCGAAAGCAGCUUUCUGGGACGGUACUGACGCUGAGACGCGAAAGCGUGGGGAGCGAACAGG
rnacentral:rRNA from 1 species